rnacentral:snRNA from 1 species
AGACUUUCUCAAGCCUUUUAACUAAGAUCAAUGUGGUGUUUGUUCUUAUCAGUUUAAUAUCCUAUAACCCCAAUAUGGGGGCCAUGGUAUUUUAGAACACGGAGAUGGAGGAAGAACUUGUACUUUCCACUCAAGGCAUUGACCUUGUUUUGCAGUACCUCCACGUCCAGUGCACCUCUC